rfam:Glarea lozoyensis ATCC 20868 chromosome Tnknown GLAREA6, whole genome shotgun sequence.
CCAAAUGAUGAUAUAAUUUGCGAUUGACCUCUCUUCGGUGGCACCCCCGCCAGGGUCGCUAUAUCGUGGGAGUGGAUGACAUUCAAUUCUUACAUAUUCUGAAC